rnacentral:rRNA from 1 species
GACGAACGCUGGCGGCGUGCCUAAUACAUGCAAGUCGAGCGCGGGAAAUCGACGGAACCCUUCGGGGGGAAGUCGACGGAAUGAGCGGCGGACGGGUGAGUAACACGUAAAGAACCUGCCCUCAGGUCUGGGAUAACCACGAGAAAUCGGGGCUAAUACCGGAUGGGUCAUCGGACCGCAUGGUCCGAGGAUGAAAGGCGCUUCGGCGUCGCCUGGGGAUGGCUUUGCGGUGCAUUAGCUAGUUGGUGGGGUAAUGGCCCACCAAGGCGACGAUGCAUAGCCGACCUGAGAGGGUGAUCGGCCACACUGGGACUGAGACACGGCCCAGACUCCUACGGGAGGCAGCAGUAGGGAAUCUUCCACAAUGGACGAAAGUCUGAUGGAGCAACGCCGCGUGAACGAUGAAGGCCUUCGGGUCGUAAAGUUCUGUUGUAAGGGAAGAACAAGUGCCGCAGGCAAUGGCGGCACCUUGACGGUACCUUGCGAGAAAGCCACGGCUAACUACGUGCCAGCAGCCGCCGCGG